GUUAAGGGUGGUCGGCACAUCUCCUGGAAGGGAGGUGAGGCUAUGACAGUAUUUGAAUCACUCAGUCUGAUGAUUGCAUUCGGAUUGUUCGUGAUUGCGCUGCUGUCCUUCUCUAACAAGAAGUAGACCUCCCUGAGCUUCCCGGCCGGUGGAGGUCUACCUUCCAUAAUGGUCGACUGCCUAAGAGGCAAUCUAUUGCAAGACCGUAGAUGUUCCAGCAUC
rnacentral:sRNA from 1 species